CCUACGGGCGGCUGCAGUGGGGAAUAUUGGACAAUGGGCGGAAGCCUGAUCCAGCCAUGCCGCGUGUGUGAUGAAGGCCUUAGGGUUGUAAAGCACUUUCGCCGAUGAAGAUAAUGACGGUAGUCGGAGAAGAAGCCCCGGCUAACUUCGUGCCAGCAGCCGCGGUAAUACGAAGGGGGCAAGCGUUGUUCGGAUUUACUGGGCGUAAAGCGUACGUAGGCGGAUGAUUAAGUCAGGGGUGAAAUCCCGGGGCUCAACCUCGGAACUGCCUUUGA
rnacentral:rRNA from 1 species